UCCGUAGGCGGUUUAGUAAGUCAGUGGUGAAAGCCCAUCGCUCAACGGUGGAACGGCCAUUGAUACUGCUAAACUUGAAUUAUUAGGAAGUAACUAGAAUAUGUAGUGUAGCGGUGAAAUGCUUAGAGAUUACAUGGAAUACCAAUUGCGAAGGCAGGUUACUACUAAUGGAUUGACGCUGAUGGACGAAAGCGUGGGUAGCGAACAGGAUUAGAUACCCUGGUAGUCC
rnacentral:rRNA from 1 species